AAAAAAUCUAGCUGGAAGAAAGGAAUGAGAAACAGGGGAAGAACGAGUGGGUAUGCUUGAAGAAGACUUGGGUUACAGGCCGAGAAAAAAGGUUAAGAGGAAGGAUAUUUAUUACAUGGACAGUUGACGAAGUGACCCUUUCUGUCCCCUAGCCAAAGAAAAG